AAAUUGAAGAGUUUGAUCAUGGCUCAGAUUGAACGCUGGCGGCAGGCCUAACACAUGCAAGUCGAACGGUAACAGGAAGAAGCUUGCUUCUUUGCUGACGAGUGGCGGACGGGUGAGUAAUGUCUGGGAAACUGCCUGAUGGAGGGGGAUAACUACUGGAAACGGUAGCUAAUACCGCAUAACGUCGCAAGACCAAAGAGGGGGACCUUCGGGCCUCUUGCCAUCGGAUGUGCCCAGAUGGGAUUAGCUGUGGUGGGGUAACGGCUCACCUAGGCGACGAUCCCUAGCUGGUCUGAGAGGAUGACCAGCCACACUGGAACUGAGACACGGUCCAGACUCCUACGGGAGGCAGCAGUGGGGAAUAUUGCACAAUGGGCGCAAGCCUGAUGCAGCCAUGCCGCGUGUAUGAAGAAGGCCUUCGGGUUGUAAAGUACUUUCAGCGGGGAGGAAGGGAGUAAAGUUAAUACCUUUGCUCAUUGACGUUACCCGCAGAAGAAGCACCGGCUAACUCCGUGCCAGCAGCCGCGGUAAUACGGAGGGUGCAAGCGUUAAUCGGAAUUACUGGGCGUAAAGCGCACGCAGGCGGUUUGUUAAGUCAGAUGUGAAAUCCCCGGGCUCAACCUGGGAACUGCAUCUGAUACUGGCAAGCUUGAGUCUCGUAGAGGGGGGUAGAAUUCCAGGUGUAGCGGUGAAAUGCGUAGAGAUCUGGAGGAAUACCGGUGGCGAAGGCGGCCCCCUGGACGAAGACUGACGCUCAGGUGCGAAAGCGUGGGGAGCAAACAGGAUUAGAUACCCUGGUAGUCCACGCCGUAAACGAUGUCGACUUGGAGGUUGUGCCCUUGAGGCGUGGCUUCCGGAGCUAACGCGUUAAGUCGACCGCCUGGGGAGUACGGCCGCAAGGUUAAAACUCAAAUGAAUUGACGGGGGCCCGCACAAGCGGUGGAGCAUGUGGUUUAAUUCGAUGCAACGCGAAGAACCUUACCUGGUCUUGACAUCCACGGAAGUUUUCAGAGAUGAGAAUGUGCCUUCGGGAACCGUGAGACAGGUGCUGCAUGGCUGUCGUCAGCUCGUGUUGUGAAAUGUUGGGUUAAGUCCCGCAACGAGCGCAACCCUUAUCCUUUGUUGCCAGCGGUCCGGCCGGGAACUCAAAGGAGACUGCCAGUGAUAAACUGGAGGAAGGUGGGGAUGACGUCAAGUCAUCAUGGCCCUUACGACCAGGGCUACACACGUGCUACAAUGGCGCAUACAAAGAGAAGCGACCUCGCGAGAGCAAGCGGACCUCAUAAAGUGCGUCGUAGUCCGGAUUGGAGUCUGCAACUCGACUCCAUGAAGUCGGAAUCGCUAGUAAUCGUGGAUCAGAAUGCCACGGUGAAUACGUUCCCGGGCCUUGUACACACCGCCCGUCACACCAUGGGAGUGGGUUGCAAAAGAAGUAGGUAGCUUAACCUUCGGGAGGGCGCUUACCACUUUGUGAUUCAUGACUGGGGUGAAGUCGUAACAAGGUAACCGUAGGGGAACCUGCGGUUGGAUCACCUCCUUACCUUAAAGAAGC
rnacentral:rRNA from 1 species